rnacentral:misc_RNA from 1 species
CUGAUCCGCAAGAUGAUGGAAUCUGGGGUUCCCAUAUGCCACACCUGUGGUGAGCAGGUGGGGCAAAAUGCUAAUGGUGAGCAGUUUGUGGCUUGCCAUGAGUGUAACUUCCCAAUGUGCAAGUCUUGUUUCGAGUACGAGAUCAAGGAGGGUCGGAAAGUAUGCCUGCGCUGUGGCUCCCCCUACAAUGAGAACUUGCU